rnacentral:rRNA from 1 species
AUUGAACGCUGGCGGCAGGCCUAACACAUGCAAGUCGAGCGGAUGAAGGGAGCUUGCUCCUGGAUUCAGCGGCGGACGGGUGAGUAAUGCCUAGGAAUCUGCCUGGUAGUGGGGGAUAACGUCCGGAAACGGGCGCUAAUACCGCAUACGUCCUGAGGGAGAAAGUGGGGGAUCUUCGGACCCCACGCUAUCAGACGAGCCUAGGUCGGAUUAGCUAGUUGGUGGGGUAAAGGCCUACCAAGGCGACGAUCCGUAACUGGUCUGAGAGGAUGAUCAGUCACACUGGAACUGAGACACGGUCCAGACUCCUACGGGAGGCAGCAGUGGGGAAUAUUGGACAAUGGGCGAAAGCCUGAUCCAGCCAUGCCGCGUGUGUGAAGAAGGUCUUCGGAUUGUAAAGCACUUUAAGUUGGGAGGAAGGGCAGUAAGUUAAUACCUUGCUGUUUUGACGUUACCAACAGAAUAAGCACCGGCUAACUUCGUG